AUCUAAACCCGGUUGAAGCGAUAUCCUUUUGGCGCCAUGCUGAGCGGAGUCGAAGCACAGCCAAAAGAUUUAGCGAAAAACGGGACUAGCC
rfam:Pedobacter ginsenosidimutans strain KACC 14530 contig04, whole genome shotgun sequence.